AGAGAAACCAUCUCCUUCUGUGAGCAAAUUAAUUUCUCUUGUAAAAGGACUCACAUUAGGCCUUCAGCUCUUCAGCUAAGGUACCAAGACAGCCUUCCUUGUCAUGGAAGUGCCUUUGUAGGUAGAUGCUCCCGUUGACUUGGACUGAAGCUCCCAAGGGAUCACCUUAGCCAAGCCCAGUCACCCUGAACACACUGUCUCCUUGGAGCUGACACCUGCAGGUCAAGCUACAGUCAAGGCUACCAGUAGACAGCCUGAUCCCACUCUCCCUGUGCACAGGGCAGACACAUCAAGCCUGGGCUGCAGUAUGUGACAACAGAAGAAGGGAAAGGACAACAGUGAAGGAAAUACUUGAGAUCUCAAGAGAUUCUUUGUGAUGCUCCUGCGAACUGGAUAAGAAGAUACCAAUGCAAAAAAUAUCCAUCUAAUAUAUACACAUACUGGCUUUUUCCUUGAAAGACUGCCUGGCCUCUGGAACCUCAGUUUCUCAGGAUUGCAGCUGGAAAGAGAACCCCCAAGAUUCACCUACCCAGGAAAAAUUCUUAGAAUUGGAACCAGAAAGAUACU